UCCGAGUUGUCCCCGGCAGUCUCUUAUGAGUCCCCGGCAUAACCCGCUGGUAACAUAAGACAAGGGUUGCGCUCGUUGCGGGACUUAACCCAACAUCUCACGACACGAGCUGACGACAGCCAUGCACCACCUGUCAUGGGCCCUUUCGGACACCGUAUCUCUACGGCUUUUCCCAUGAUGUCAAACCCAGGUAAGGUUCUUCGGGUCGCAUCGAAUUAAGCCGCAUGCUCCGCCGCUUGUGCGGGGACCCGUCAAUUCCUUUGAGUUUUAGCCUUGCGGCCGUACUCCCCAGGCGGGGCACUUAAUGCGUUAGCUUCGGCACGGCAACCGUUGACAUCGUUUAGGGCGUGGACUAC
rnacentral:misc_RNA from 1 species